rnacentral:tRNA from 1 species
UGUUAAAUAGUUUAUAAAAAAAACAUUAAAUUGCAAGUUUAAAAUUUUAAUUAAAUUAAUUUAACUU